GAUGUAGCUCAAUUGGUAGAGCUUCGGUUUGCUAAACCGAGGGUAAGGGUUCAAUCCCCUUCGUUCCG
rnacentral:tRNA from 1 species